UGAAAAGAGACAACGACGUACCAAUUGC
rnacentral:sRNA from 1 species